ensembl:lncRNA
GAACUCCCAGAGUACCUCCUUAGCAUCAUGGAGUUUGGCUGAGGUUGGGAAGGCAGACAGCUGACAGAGUAGGGACAAGAACAGCAUUUCCCCACCGGGGAACUCAGCCACCUCCUGAGCAAACAGGAAUGCACAACUGAACUUUGCAUUGACUUUCAAUAUAUAUAACCUGUUCUUAAGUGAGUGAAUGAGGGAAUGGUGGUCAGGAAAGGAGCCAAGUCUGAGAAGCCUCAUUGUGGGAGGGAUGGGGGAGGAGAGGGGAGGGGAGAUGGGCACAAAAUCAGCGUCAGGAAGAUUGCAGGAUUCUCACUGCAGAACAAAAUAACCAAAGCUAUUUCUUUUUGUCCGCUACUCUUCCACAGGUCCAAAGGGGCACUGCCAUGGAGGUGGGCACCCUCCUGGCCCUGGGCACCACCCUGGAGGCGGGCCGCCCCCUGGCCCUGGGCACCACCCUGGAGGCGGGCCCCCCCCUGGCCCUGGGCACCACCCUGGAGGUGGCCCCACCCCUGGCCCUGGGCCCUGUCCUGGGAAGGGCCACCCCCCAGGGCCUCCUGGUCCACAUCACUGAAGAAACCGAAGAAACAAACCAAGAAUGGGGUGCCUGACCUGGCAUGAGUUCUGAACCAGAAUCUUCUGUUCAAAAUAAUCAGCCUCCUGGAGGCCAUGGUCUCCUCUUAAAAGAGCCUGUCUUUCUUCACAUCCAACCCAGUCCUCAGUCCAGUUGUCUCUGAGUUCCCUAGUUCUAAAAAUAGGGCCCAGUCAGGCUUUCUCAGAUGUUUGACUCAUUGGUGUCCAUAGCAUAUUAAUGUCACCCCUCCCUUUUGUUUUCACUUCUGUCCCACCCCCCAUCAAAAGGCCCCAAGUAGGGCCUUAUCACCUCUACCCCAUCACACAUACCCAGGGCUGGUGGGCCUUCCAGGGUUCCUCUUGCUGGCCUCACUACAAUUCAGAAGCCUUCAGUGGAUUGCUACUGUCCACAAGUUAUUUCUCACUAUCCCCUGAAAAUACUUUCCAGACUCCUUAACUCUGCCCAGUUUACCCACUACCACCACAUCCGCCCCUACUGAGGAAUGCCUUCCUGCCCAGCCACCAUCAACAUACAGCCUUCUCUAAAGCCUGUUAGAGUAAGAAGUCCUUUCUGUGCACACUGCCCUCUUUUCUGAAGCUUUUAUCAACCAUCACAUGGGCCCAACCACAGCCUACCCAAUUGGCACCAAUUAACUGGCUGGCUUUUUAUCUCUUCAGCCAAAACAAGCUACUCAGGGCUGGGUCAACACUUCUGCACUUCUAGACUCUCCCACCCUCAUUGCCUACUGGUCUAUGCCUUGCAUAGAGUGGUAUCUGCACACAGUUUAGGGAUACCCAUAGUCGAAGCAUCUCUGGGUUCUAACUCUUCCCCCAGCCACAUUCUUCAACCAAGGCACCUCCCACACAGAGACAGCAUGCCUGGUAUGAAACCCCUUCUGCUCGCCCAAAUCACAUCUAGGAUCCUCUCCACUCUGCAACUCCCAGGCUUUUCACACUGCUCAAAUCUAAUCUAGUGCUACCACAGCCCUCUAGCCAGGCCUGUCCACUACUCAUCACACCUCCUCUCUCUCACAGUCAUUGCCUGACGGGGGUGGCAGCAAGUUCCCGCAAGUGAGACGCUGUUGGGUACCUUCCAGGCUGAAGAGGGGUGGUUAUAAGAAAAGGAGCUGGAGAUUCUCUGUGUCUCUCUUCUCCUCCCCCACCACACUCUGCACUUCAAUAGCAGAAUCGAGGCUCCUUGUCUAAGGGGUCCAGACCCAGGUCCAGAACAACAUCAAGACCCAACUUGAGCAGAUGUCUAGCACCGCUGGAGAGGAAGGUGCGGGGGUGGGGUUGGGGGCGUGGAGCGGAGCCCAGAGAAAUGUGGGACUAAAAGUAGCCCAACCUCUCUCAAUCCCUUGGCGUCCUGAGCAGUGCAGUGCCGGCCUGGAGCUUCUCCCUCUUUCAAGCUGGAAGAGUCUGCGUUACAAGUCAAUAAGGCUCUCUACAUGGUGCUUGGGGUCGCUCUUCCUGGUCCCUCACGGGAAAACCGAUGCCCCCAGGAAAGGCCGGUGUGCGAACUACAGCCCGGUGCCAGAUCCCCAAAGGCAACUCUCAGAUCUGGCCCGGGUAGAGGGGCGCACACCACCAGUCCUGGGGUCUUAAAGACAACAAGCCUCCAGCGCUGAGCAGGGGUGCGGCGG